rnacentral:lncRNA from 1 species
GGGGACAGCCUGGGGGCUGGGGACUGUUGCGGAGUGAGAGCAAAUGCAAUAGACUGUUCAAGAGUCGUGUUCCUGCCUGUUUCCUGAGUGUGCUGUUCUCCAGGUUGUUUGUUCAUGUGUGUGAUUUUCCUAUUCUGGCAUCUCCACUACAGAAAUACUCACUGCAAGCCAAUCUGCAUCUUUUGAGAAAUAGAUAUGAUGGGAAAGAAAGGGGUCUAAAGGCAAAACAAAU